rnacentral:tRNA from 1 species
GUCCUUGUAAUGCGAUGGAUAGCGCUUUGGACUUCUAAUCCAAAGGUUGUGGGUUCGAAUCCCACCUGGGAUA